rnacentral:rRNA from 1 species
AACGAACGCUGGCGGCAUGCUUAACACAUGCAAGUCGAACGAGACCUUCGGGUCUAGUGGCGCACGGGUGCGUAACGCGUGGGAAUCUGCCCUUUGCUACGGAAUAACUCAGAGAAAUUUGUGCUAAUACCGUAUAAUGUCGUAAGACCAAAGAUUUAUCGGCAAAGGAUGAGCCCGCGUAAGAUUAGCUUGUUUGUGGGGUAAAGGCCUACCAAGGCGACGAUCUUUAGCUGGUCUGAGAGGAUGAUCAGCCACACUGGGACUGAGACACGGACCAGACUCCUACGGGAGGCAGCAGUGGGGAAUAUUGGACAAUGGGCGAAAGCCUGAUCCGGCAAUGCCGCGUGAGUGAUGAAGGCCUUAGGGUUGUAAAGCUCUUUUACCAGGGAUGAGAAUGACAGUACCUGGAGAAUAAGCUCCGGCUAACUCCGUGCCAGCAGCCGCCGUAACAC